rnacentral:lncRNA from 1 species
AUUUCUCCCCUACCCGAUUGGUUUCCCUAUUUGACAAAACGACCCCAUUUGGCAUUAAAUAGAUCCUAGCCGUCGAGGUUCCCUAGAUCUAACGACUCUAAGGUGGGGGACACUUGAUAUAAAAGUGUCUGAAUCAUCCCCCACCCCCUCUCAAUCGUCCCUCUCACAGGCCACCCAGCAACCCUAGAGAUAAGCUAGCCACCGCCUAGAGAUUCCCGUGACCACUGGUGGCGGCACCACCUCCAAUCGCCCCCAUCUUUACACCAUAACAUCUCCUUCCUCCCCUCUUAAUAAAUCCAUCAUUGGUUUUCGUCGAAUCUUCGACCAAUGUUUGGACCCUCAAACCUAAAUUUCCCAAAUCAUACCAUGCAAUACUCAUGACAUCCUAAAUCUUAUCCCCACGUUUAUUUCCCAAAUCCCCCCAGUUCCGAAUCUAGAAAGUCAAACCCUAAUUCAUCCUAUUUUCUCUAGUUCGGCAUAAGUUGCAGCUUUGAUCUAUAACCUACGCUAAUUGAUUGCUCUUAAUGAGUGCAAUCUAUUAGCAUUGGUUUUAAUUCAUUUUGAGGACGCCGAAUUCUUACGAACCCCAUCAAAUUCAGGCCAAGUGUUUUCUCCCGUAUUUGUUCGUUGGUUGGUGGCCUGCUGUCAAUACAUUCUAGCGUGAUUUGGUAUUCUCCUAUUUUUCUAACUAUAUUUCUUUUAUUAUUACUAUUUUAUGUUUGCUUCAUUUUUUUUCUUUAGUAGUUGAAUUCGUUUUAAUUUGGCAAUUACAAUAAGUUUAAUCAUGAAGUCCGAAUGGUCAAUUUUUUUUUACUUUCUGGAUUUUAUUUUCAAUUUAUGUGUCUUUAAUCAUUUCUCAUAGUCUUGGUUUCUUGUGUUAACUGUGGUCAUUACUGACCUAGUUAAAAGACCAUUCAUUUUGGUGUCUUGGGUUAACUCAACCCAAGUUGGCACUCUAAAGGUAAAUAAAGGGCUGUCAAAGGUCAAUUUGGGGUCUAAAGGAAUUAUUUUCUGUUACAGGGAAGGUUCUAGAGGAUAAGAUAAGAGCUGAUUUGUUAAGGGGAGGGACUGUGUUAAUAAAAUAAAAACUAAAUAACGCUAGCUAAGCAAAAAAAAUUUGAAAAAUGGCCUAUAUGCAAAACUAAUAACAUGAGGCUGACCUAUUUGCCUUGCCUAUAAAGGAAUCCAUUCAUGCCUUUCAAGGUGGGUAUUUUAAGUGAAAAAGUCAGAUAAAGGAAACGACUAAGGUUUUUUAUUCCAUUGAAUCCCCUUGUUUAGUCGAUAUUAGAAGUUUUCAAGUCUUGGCAUAUUUUCUAGUGUGUUCUGAGAGUUCAUAUGGAGUGGUAUUGAAUUUGAGAAGAAUUUUUUGUUUCAAGUUGCUAAGGACCAUUAUUCCAUUGAAUUUUAAAGAUAGUUUUGAGUGUUUUAAUCGUUGAAUCUGGGUUGUGUUAUUGCUGAUCCAUUUUGGUGUUACUCUGCUGACCCUCCGCGUCUUCUUUUCCAUUUCAAUCACUACGUAUACCUUCAAACUAUAAUGGAGCGGAGUUUUGAAUAGUUUGUAUGAAGAUUUGGAUUUAAGUUGGAGUUUGAGUCGAAAACUGAUUCCUGGUGUAAUUGUGUGUAAUUCCAAUCAUUAUGUGUGAUAGAAUUGUUCAGUUUCUUGUUUAUAUUGGAUUGCUUAUUCAUGCUAGUUAGCUUAAGAGGAUCUGGUUGUCUAGAUGAAGUGUUUGAAUGUAAGCAUUAUAAUAGUGUUUGGAUGCUACUUCUAUGAAGGAACUGCUAAACAUUUUGUGGGGAAAUGGACAUGAUGUUCAAUCUUGGACGAAUGCACUGACGACCAGUACUGUAAAAAUAGACUUGGUCAUGAUGCUUUAAAUCUGCUUGAAAAUUGGAACAUAAUGUUUUCUUAGUCGAGUAAGUAAGGAAGUUUUGCAUAUAAUUAUGAGUAAUAAUUUGCUUAAUUAGAUGUUGAAUGACCAAAAAUCAAUCGAGAUAGUAACUUCGGUGCAGUAGUAGUAUGAUUGGCUGAAUUGUUAUGAAGCUGAAAUUGUAAAGUUCCACUGCCUUUUGUCAGUCAUUAAAAUUUGAAUCCGCAAUUGCUUUCAUGAUCAAACUAUUAUUGGGUGUUAUUUGAUUGGCUAAUGAUAAGUUAAACCAUUUCUUAGUUUGCUUGCAUAUGUAUUGGUUUCGUCCUUGGUUCAUAUUGAAUUCAUUAAUAUUCUCAAGUGUUUUUCAUGUGGUAAGGAUUCGAUGUUGGGUCUUGAAUCAACAACUUCAAGGAUCCACAUUUGGGCCUAUUUUGAGGCCCAGCUCUGAAGGUCCUCUUGAAUUACAGAUGGACCAUCUCCUCUUUUGGGGCCACCGAUCCUGUUUGGUGGCUCAAGUUUUUCUUAUACAAUGCAUUAGUUUUCCCCUUGUAUAAUCCACCCCAUCUAUCUUAGAUAGAGCCUUUAAUUACAUCUAGUAUUAAUUGACUGGACUAUUAACUAGUUGAGGCGAGCCAUAUUCAAUAACAUAAAUAGAUAUGGCCCUUGUAUUAAUUUGAUAACCUAGAUAAAAAUUGAUUAAUAUUCGUAGAAAAGAUUUUAAGGCC